rnacentral:rRNA from 1 species
CCUACGGGUGGCAGCAGUGAGGAAUAUUGGUCAAUGGACGAGAGUCUGAACCAGCCAAGUAGCGUGAAGGAUGACUGCCCUAUGGGUUGUAAACCUCUUUUAUAAAGGAAUAAAACGAGGCACGUGUGCCUUUUUGUAUGUACUUUAUGAAUAAGGAUCGGCUAACUCCGUGCCAGCAGCCGCGGUAAUACGGAGGAUCCGAGCGUUAUCCGGAUUUAUUGGGUUUAAAGGGGGCGUAGUCGGGUUGUUAAGUCAGUUGUGAAAGUUUGCGGCUCAACCGUAAAAUUGCAGUUGAUACUGGGAGGCUUGAGUACAGUUGAGGUAGGCGGAAUGCGUGGUGUAGCGGUGAAAUGCUUAGAUAUCACGAAGAACCCCGAUUGCGAAGGCAGCUUACUAAGCUGUGACUGACAUUGAUGCACGAAAGUGUGGGGAUCAAACAGGAUUAGAUACCCUUGUAGUC